CUAAGAUGUUAAGUUUGGUGUUUUUCGAGUAGGUUCCCUUUCCACUUCAGUUUAUUUGAUGAAUGAAAGACUUUGGGCAAGUUAUUCCUGAUGUCUCAAUUUCCUUAUUGAACAUAGGACCUACCUGGAGUGAAACCAUAAGAUUUCUAUCUCCAAAGUUUUGGAAACGUAUUGACAUUUUCACAGAAUUAUUUAAAAAGUUACCAGUUCUGCUGACAAGACUAACUCCAGAGGGUAAGCCAAAGUUGUCCGGAAGGAAACACUUUUCUAAUGGCUUCAGGAAGAGCAUAUACCCAUUUUGAAAGAGAACCUAAACUGACAGCUAAGCCUGAUGUCCUGAUUUCUUCAGAUCUACACAGUACUCUUAGUAUGUAACCUAUCAUUUUGCCUCUAAAGUAAAAUGGCAUCUUCUACUACCCCCCAAACUGUCUUAUACCUGGAAUCUUCUGUUCUCUACACAAAGGAGGAGUUCAAGAAAUAUCUGCAGCCUGAAUGAACUAAGACAAUGAGUGACUGAUUGUUUCCAAUUAAUUCUUAACCUUGAAGGCUGGGACCGCUUCUACCCUACAAGGCAAGGCAGUGUUAGUCAUAAAUAUGUUUUCCCCAGGAAUGAAACACUGCAAAGAGAGAGAAGAAAGUAGAACAUGGCCAGAAGAAGAAUUGAAAGUUCCACAGGCAACUUCCUAAAUGAUGACAGAGACCUAGGACUACAAAGCAUGGCGACGUACUGGAAAGAAGAAAGGUCACGAACUCCUGAGGAAGUUGGCAAAGAAAUGCUGAAAGAGUUGACUAUAUCUCUUCCAAAUCCUAGAUGGAAAAACUCAAAGCACCAAGAUAUUUAAUAAGUUUUUCAGGAUCACGGAAUGAAGAGAACUGAGGUGUCAAAUUGGGUGGCCUAUAGUCUCCCUAAGUCUUUUCUGAGGGCUGGCUCUAGGUUUUUGGAAUCGUUAGGGAGAGCCUGGACCACACCUGCAUGUGCCGAUACCCCCCAGCCCUGCAGCUCUGUGAGAGCUUUUAAUAAUCAUGGGCUCUUCCAGAAGGUGACUGCAGUCAAAGCUGAUCCUCAAUCCAAGGCUGUGAGAGGUGCUCCCAGAGAAGUCUGCCCAGCACCCCCUCCAUCUCCACUGUCAGUCACAACUGCAGUCAAACCAGUCGCAAACAACAGGAAAGGCGAACAGCUCAAGAACAUCCCACCCCAACCUUGUACUCUUACUUAACUUCUAAGGCAAGCUGAUCUGCUUGAAGCCCUCCUUCUUAAAGCUCCAUCUCCCGAAAUAAGAGUCAGAGAAGGGGAGAGAAUUAUUAAAACACCUUUUGAGGCUACUCCACCAUCUGUUUCAUCCUUAAAGAACAGAAAAGCUCAACCUUAAGAAGUUAAGGCAAAAAGCAAAC